rnacentral:rRNA from 1 species
GACGAACGCUGGCGGCGUGCUUAACACAUGCAAGUCGAACGGAAAGGCCCUGCUUUUGUGGGGUGCUCGAGUGGCGAACGGGUGAGUAACACGUGAGUAACCUGCCCUUGACUUUGGGAUAACUUCAGGAAACUGGGGCUAAUACCGGAUAGGAGCUCCUGCUGCAUGGUGGGGGUUGGAAAGUUUCGGAGGUUGGGGAUGGACUCGCGGCUUAUCAGCUUGUUGGUGGGGUAGUGGCUUACCAAGGCUUUGACGGGUAGCCGGCCUGAGAGGGUGACCGGCCACAUUGGGACUGAGAUACGGCCCAGACGCCUACGGGAGGCAGCAGUGGGGAAUAUUGCACAAUGGGCGGAAGCCUGAUGCAGCAACGCCGCGUGCGGGAUGACGGCCUUCGGGUUGUAAACCGCUUUCGCCUGUGACGAAGCGGGAGUGACGGUAAUGGGUAAAGAAGCACCGGCUAACUACGUG